rnacentral:rRNA from 1 species
CCUACGGGAGGCAGCAGUGAGGAAUAUUGGUCAAUGGACGCAAGUCUGAACCAGCCAUGCCGCGUGCAGGAAGACGGCUCUAUGAGUUGUAAACUGCUUUUGUACGAGGGUAAAUCCCGAUACGUGUAUCGGGUUGAAAGUAUCGUACGAAUAAGGAUCGGCUAACUCCGUGCCCGCAGCCCCGGGAAAACGGAGGAUUCAAGCGUUAUCCGGAUUUAUUGGGUUUAAAGGGUGCGUAGGCGGUUCGAUAAGUUAGAGGUGAAAUCCCGGGGCUCAACUCCGGCACUGCCUCUGAUACUGUCGGGCUAGAGUUUGGUUGCGGUAGGCGGAAUGUAUGGUGUAGCGGUGAAAUGCAUAGAGAUCAUACAGAACACCGAUUGCGAAGGCAGCUUACCAAACUACGACUGACGUUGAGGCACGAAAGCGUGGGUAGCAAACAGGAUUAGAUACCCCAGUAGUC